rnacentral:rRNA from 1 species
GCCUAUGGCCACGCCACCCUGAACACGCCCGAUCCCGUCCGAGCUCGCAAGCUAAGCAGGGUCGGGCCUGGUUAGUACUUGGAUGGGAGACCGCCUAGAAAGACCAAGUGCUGUAGGUA